CUGUGGGUGCUGCGGGGCUGGGGAGCUCGGAGCUGUUUGGUUAACGUGAAUACUCGGGUUUGACAUGGGCUGGGCUCUCCUCACAGGCUGCCUGCAGUUCGUGUCUCUCCUUGAGGCUUUUGAGAUCCCUGCCCGCUGAAAGCACCUGUGCCAUGUGUGAGAUGUGUGGGGAAACAUCCUUCCUUAAGCAGAGAAUCUCAGUCCUGAAGUCUGUUGUCACUGUUUUAUGAGGUUUGUUUUAAAAUUGAGUUUUUCCAGCCUUUCUACGGCCAAUGAGUUUAGGUAUUUGGCUUUGUAUUUCUUAUUUAAGUUAUAAUUAUUAAUAUUGUAAUAGUACAGAAGUAUGAGAUCCUGAGAGUACAGAGUUGCAUGGAUCUUUUUUCCCUAUAUUUAGGAAUAAUUUAAUUUGAAUUAAAUCCUACCUAACCCCAUAGGGUUUGGUUGCAGGCAUGAUUUUUGUCCUAACUUGCUUUUUAGAUUCAGGAGGACCUUCAGAAGCUUAAAAUGGAAAAAACCAACUUGAAAGGAAAUGCAGAAGCUGUGGAUAUUUGUGACCUCAGAAAAGCAACUGAAAGGACUGAACUUGGGCUGAGAACACAAGCUGAAAAUUAUUUCAGUGUUAUAGAUGGCCAAGAGUUAACUCUUUCUUCAGCUGGUAACAAAGAAGUAAAUUCCAAAGAGCCCCCUAAGUGGUAAGUGAAACAGAUGUUUUAUUGCAGCAAGACACAAAAACUGAGGUGACAUAAUCAUGUAAAGCAAAUGGGAGUACUGACCUAGAAAAAGUUAGUUUAGUCAUUUCCUAUUUUGAUUUUAAGUUAAAAAAAUAUACAAGUGUAAAUGCAAUUCCAAGCGGCUUCAGCAGUGCUCUGCUGACUUGUGUGAUUUUACUUCUGCUAAAUGCAAGUUUAAAUAAAAUACAGUCAUUUGGCUGAAAGCAGAGUGGGUGUUUAGCAGGUGAAAUCCAAGUAAUUGUUAGGAAGCUCACUGCCUGUUUCUCUGUCCCCAGGAUUCCUACUUUUGGAGCCUGUCAGCAGCAGCUGGUUCUGCCCCGGGUGGAGCCCCUGGCUGUGCAGAGGAGCAGCAAAUCAGCCCCACGGCUGUGCCAGGGCCCCCAGGUCUGAAAUCACACCCUGAUCCUUCGGUGCUUUCAGGGAGUGCUGGGUGUCCUGUGCAUCUGACUGCCAUGGAGUCAGGGUUUGAGAACACCCCAUGAUGAAAGUGUUAAAAAUCCUCAGCAGAAGGAGCAGCUGAGAGGGGAAUCUUCUCCCAGCCCAGGGUAACAUUUAACUUGGGAAAGAUCCCAGUGUCAUCCAUGCAGGGUGGAAUUGGCACUUCCCAC
rnacentral:lncRNA from 14 species